rnacentral:rRNA from 1 species
GACGAACGCUGGCGGCGUGCUUAACACAUGCAAGUCGAACGGAAAGGCCCUGCUUUUGUGGGGUGCUCGUGUGGCGAACGGGUGAGUAACACGUGAGUAACCUGCCCUUGACUUUGGGAUAACUUCAGGAAACUGGGGCUAAUACCGGAUAGGAGCUCCUGCUGCAUGGUGGGGGUUGGAAAGUUUCGGCGGUUGGGGAUGGACUCGCGGCUUAUCAGCUUGUUGGUGGGGUAGUGGCUUACCAAGGCUUUGACGGGUAGCCGGCCUGAGAGGGUGACCGGCCACAUUGCGACUGAGAUACGGCCCAGACUCGUACGGGAGGCAGCAGUGGGGAAUAUUGCACAAUGGGCGGAAGCCUGAUGCAGCAACGCCGCGUGCGGAAUGACGGCUUUCGGGUUGUAAACCGCUUUCGCCUGUGACGAAGAGUGAGUGACGGUAAUGGGUAAAGAAGCACCGGCUAACUACGUG